AUAUUGGAGUUCAAGAUUUUGAGGAUCGCCUAGUCUGCCUGAUUGUUCUAGUAUCACCAGACUGGAGAAACCAACCCAUUAGAACUUAAAACAUACUUGGUUCAUUUGUACACACAGCCCAGGAGGACACCAGCCCCAUGCGAAGCCCAGGGGUCAUACUCCUUCUUCUGUAGAAGGUUAUCUGCAUAAUUUUGUGACACCUGAACUGUGUGUAUUCCUUCAGGUAGACAUUCCUGAAAUCUCUACUUGGGCUAAUGGCCUUUCCUCUGAGUUCCCUUCUGCUGUCAUGAUCAACACAGUGAGUGCAAUAGGAGGAUCUCAAUAUGUAUACUGGACUAGACUGGAAAAAUACUGAAGCAUAUAUGUCGUCAGCAUAUAGAUCAUAACUGAAAUAUGUGGAAGGAAGGUGCCUGGAACUGAGCAUGGAAGCAACCAAAUUUAAUGGACAUUCAGAAACAUUAGGGCCACAAAGACACUGAGGCUAGUCCCCAUGAUUUAUCGUGGUCCUACCAAGCCUUCUUCAGAUGUCUGAGAAGAAGAGGCAGGCCAAAAUUGUUACCCUCUACAAGGAGAGCAGUAUAUUCUCCUUGAGACCAAUGCUGAUGGAUAUCUCCAAUAAACAAAACGACAUCUGAGAGAUCAGUUUCUUUUUGAUCUCCUCCUCUUCUCUAACUAUGCCAUGUGAGACUCCUUUGUUAGCUAUUUUUCACUCUUUACCCAAUAGCACUGAUGCCCCUUAAUCCUUGCUUAUUCUCCUGAGCAAUAUUCUCCAUAACCACAGCUUCAAGGGUCAUACACUGAUGACCUCCAUAUCUCCAAACAUUCUCAUCUUUGGGUCACAUAUCCAGGAUGCCUAUUGGACAUCCCACUAGAUGAACCUUAAAUAACUGUAAUCUAACAUGUGUCUGUUGCUGAAUACUAAAUGGUGCGUGCAUGGGAUAAAACUCCACAAAACAAGGCAGGAAAUAAUGAGAUGACCGAGGAGCUCUAUACUGAGCAAUUCCUAGAGCUCACAUAUAUUCAUGAUUAGGAUACAGGAUUGUCCAUCUUUUUUGAAGCAGGUAUAUAACUAGUUGAUCUAAUCAUGCCAUCAAGAGUCAUGUGCUACAUAUCCACAGAGCGGCAGUCCUAAAGACUGAAUACUAUGCUGUAAGCACUUGAACAUGACAAUUCCCCAUUGUAUUUGUAUUUCUCUUGGACACCCUACCUGAUCCUUCCUCUCCCAUUUGGGCA